GAUGAACGCUGGCGGCGUGCCUAAUACAUGCAAGUCGAGCGAACAGACGAGGAGCUUGCUCCUCUGACGUUAGCGGCGGACGGGUGAGUAACACGUGGAUAACCUACCUAUAAGACUGGGAUAACUUCGGGAAACCGGAGCUAAUACCGGAUAAUAUAUUGAACCGCAUGGUUCAAUAGUGAAAGACGGUUUUGCUGUCACUUAUAGAUGGAUCCGCGCCGCAUUAGCUAGUUGGUAAGGUAACGGCUUACCAAGGCAACGAUGCGUAGCCGACCUGAGAGGGUGAUCGGCCACAGUGGAACUGAGACACGGUCCAGACUCCUACGGGAGGCAGCAGUAGGGAAUAUUACGCAAUGGGCGAAGGCCUGACGGAGCAACGCCGCGUGAGUGAUGAAGGUCUUCGGAUCGUAAAACUCUGUUAUUAGGGAAGAACAAAUGUGUAAGUAACUAUGCACGUCUUGACGGUACCUAAUCAGAAAGCCACGGCUAACUACGUG
rnacentral:rRNA from 1 species